GCAGAUACCCGCGAUCCUGAAGGACGGCGAGAGCCCCAGAGCGGUCGUGCUUCACACCGGGGUUAACGACACCACGCUGCGGCAGACGGAGACGCUGAAGAGGGACUUCAGGAGCCUGAUCGAGACGGUUCGCAGCACGACGCCCGUGGCGACGAUCGUCGUGUCAGGACCACUGCCCACGUAUCGACGAGGACACGAAAGGUUCAGUAGACUUUUUGCUUUAAAUGAAUGGUUGUUGUCAUGGUGUAAAGAACAGAAACUGCUAUUUGUUAAUAACUGGAAUCUUUUCUGGGAGCGUCCUAGACUGUUUCGCGCUGAUGGAUUACACCCCAGCAAAAUCGGAGCGGAGCUGCUUUCUGACAACAUCUCCAGGACACUUCGCUCCAUGUGACUAAGAUGAUGCUGACCCUCAGAGGACCCCAGAUGAUGCUAACCUUGAAUCAACAAACAGAACUAACAAUUAUUGCUAAAUGUGUGACUGAAUCAUAUAAUAACUUAAUUAAUAAUAUUGAUAGUUCAUCGUCUAGCUGACUACGUCUUGUAUUAUUAUUAUUAUUUUUUCUAAAAUCCUGUCAAAUGUGCACAAACUACUAGCUACUACUAAAUAUUGUAGAAACAUAAUUUUCUGUAAAGUUGCUUUGUAACGAUUUAUUUUGUAAAAAGCGCUAUACAAAUAAACUUGAAUUGAAUUGAA